CCUACGGGAGGCAGCAGUGGGGAAUAUUGGACAAUGGGCGAAAGCCUGAUCCAGCAAUGCCGCGUGUGUGAAGAAGGCCUGCGGGUUGUAAAGCACUUUCAUCAGGGACGAAAAACCCGGGGCGAAUACCCCCGGGCCUUGACUUAACCUGAACAAGAAGCACCGGCUAACUCCGUGCCAGCAGCCGCGGUAAUACGGAGGGUGCGAGCGUUAAUCGGAAUUACUGGGCGUAAAGCGCACGUAGGAGGCGAGGUCAGUCAGAUGUGAAAUCCCCGGGCUCAACCUGGGAAUUGCAUUUGAUACUGUCUUGCUAGAGUCUGGCAGAGGUAAGCGGAAUUCCGGGUGUAGCGGUGGAAUGCGUAGAUAUCCGGAAGAACACCAGUGGCGAAGGCGGCUUACUGGGCCAAGACUGACUCUGAGGUGCGAAAGCGUGGGGAGCGAACAGGAUUAGAUACCCUGGUAGUCCACGCCGUAAACGAUGUCAACCAGCCGUUGGACCCGUUUGAGGGUCAAGUGGUGCAGCUAACGCGAUAAGUUGACCGCCUGGGGAGUACGGCCGCAAGGUUGAAACUCAAAGGAAUUGACGG
rnacentral:rRNA from 1 species